GACGGGGGGUGCAAGCGUUGUUCGGAUUGACUGGGCGUAAAGGGCGUGUAGGCGGUUGGUCAAGUCUGGUGUGAAAGCCCGGGGCUUAACCCCGGAAGUGCGCUGGAAACUAGCCAGCUAGAGCGCGAGAGAGGAGGGUGGAAUUCCUGGUGUAGCGGUGAAAUGCGUAGAUAUCAGGAGGAACACCGGCGGCGAAGGCGGCCCUCUGGCUCGUUGCUGACGCUGAAACGCGAAAGCGUGGGGAGCAAACAGG
rnacentral:rRNA from 1 species